AGGAAGCCUGGAUUCAGCAAGUGUCCUAUUGUUCUCCAGUAUUUUCCCGGCAUUGAUGAGCUUCAUAUCAUUUACAGUUUUUGGAGUAUUUUCUUUAUCUGUGAAACAGAGAAACAUUGAAAAUGCAAUUAUAAAACAACCUUAAGUAGAGAAAGUAAAUGCAACAUAAGAUUCAAUAAGGCCAAGAAACACCAAACACCUAAACCAAAAAAAUCCAGGCAAAAACAAUACAAUUUGAGACAUCAAUCUUAUACUAGUUUUAGCCAAAAUCAGUAACUAGAGUGAUCUUAACACAACAACAACUAAACCUUUCACACUAUAAAACUAUAAUUAUCUAUUAAAGCCUCAUACUUUACAAAGUUCAACACCUAGACUAGCCCAAAAAAGUUCAUCAUACAUUCAAAUCAUUGCAGAAAGAAGACAAAUUUAAUACAAUCAAACCCAAUGGAG